rnacentral:lncRNA from 1 species
UUUCCUCCUCCUUUUUUUCUUCUUUUUUUCUCUCCUUCAAGAUGGUCUCCAUCCCCUAUCUUCUCCCUCCUUAACUUAGGUUCCAAAGAGUCCAAGUAAAGCAUUUAGAUAACCUAAUAGUGGGUAUUGGCAAGGUAAGUAAUAUCCACCCCAUUUACGGUCUUCCUCUCCGACUCUCCCAUCCUAACAUUUUCAUCCUCCUCCACU